GGUGCUAUGGUCUAGUGGUAUGACGCCACGUUGUGGUGAAGACAGCUCUCUGUUCUCCUGCAACUCCGUGUUAGCCCCGGUUCGAUUCCGGGUAGCGCCA